GACGAACGCUGGCGGCGUGCCUAAUACAUGCAAGUAGAACGCACAGUUUAUACCGUAGCUUGCUACACCAUAGACUGUGAGUUGCGAACGGGUGAGUAACGCGUAGGUAACCUGCCUGGUAGCGGGGGAUAACUAUUGGAAACGAUAGCUAAUACCGCAUAAUAUUAAUUAUUGCAUGAUAAUUAAUUGAAAGGUGCAAUUGCACCACUACCAGAUGGACCUGCGUUGUAUUAGCUAGUAGGUGAGGUAACGGCUCACCUAGGCGACGAUACAUAGCCGACCUGGGAGGGUGAUCGGCAACACUGGGACUGAGACACGGCCCAGACUCCUACGGGAGGCAGCAGUAGGGAAUCGUCGGCAAUGGACGAAAGUCUGACCGAGAAACGCCGCGUGAGUGAAGAAGGUUUUCGGAUCGUAAAGCUCUGUUGUAAGAGAAGAACGGGUGUGAGAGUGGAAAGUUCACACUGUGACGGUAUCUUACCAGAAAGGGACGGCUAACUACGUG
rnacentral:rRNA from 1 species